GGUGACGAGCGGCGGACGGGUGAGUAAUGUCGUAGAACUGCUGAUGGAGGGGAUACUACUGAAACGGUAGCUAAUACGCAUAACGUCGCAAGACAAGAGGGGGACUUCGGGCCUCCUGCCAUCAGAUGUGCCCAGAUGGGAUUAGCUAGUAGUGGGGUAACGGCUCACCUAGCGACGAUCCCUACUGGUCUGAAGGAUGACCAGCCACACUGGAACUGAGACACGGUCCAGACUCCUACGGCAGGCAGCAGUGGGGAAUAUUGCACAAUGGGGGAAACCCUGAUGCAGCCAUGCCGCGUGUGUGAAGAAGGCCUUCGGGUUGUAAAGCACUUUCAGCGAGGAGGAAAGGUCAGUAGCUAAUAUCUGCUGACUGUGACGUUACUCGCAAAAAAGCACCGGCUAACUCCGUGCCACAGCCGCGGUAAUACGGAGGGGUGCAAGCCGUUAAUCGGAAUUUACUGGGGGCGUAAAAGCGCACGGCAGGGCGGGGUUUGGGGAUAAAGUUAAGAAUUGGUGGAAAAGGCCCCCGGGGGGCUUCCAAACCCUGGGGGAAAUUUGGCCAUUUUUAAAAACUUGGUCCCAAGCUUAAGAAGGUUCCUU
rnacentral:rRNA from 1 species